AUUGAAUAGGCUCAUGAUUGACUGCUGAUCUGCAAGUCGUACGCUUCUUUUUCCACCGGAGCUUGCUCCACCGGAAAAAGAAGAGUGGCGAACGGGUGAGUAACACGUGGGUAACCUGCCCAUCAGAAGGGGAUAACACUUGGAAACAGGUGCUAAUACCGUAUAACAAUCGAAACCGCAUGGUUUUGAUUUGAAAGGCGCUUUCGGGUGUCGCUGAUGGAUGGACCCGCGGUGCAUUAGCUAGUUGGUGAGGUAACGGCUCACCAAGGCCACGAUGCAUAGCCGACCUGAGAGGGUGAUCGGCCACAUUGGGACUGAGACACGGCCCAAACUCCUACGGGAGGCAGCAGUAGGGAAUCUUCGGCAAUGGACGAAAGUCUGACCGAGCAACGCCGCGUGAGUGAAGAAGGUUUUCGGAUCGUAAAACUCUGUUGUUAGAGAAGAACAAGGAUGAGAGUAACUGUUCAUCCCUUGACGGUAUCUAACCAGAAAGCCACGGCUAACUACGUGCCAGCAGCCGCGGUAAUACGUAGGUGGCAAGCGUUGUCCGGAUUUAUUGGGCGUAAAGCGAGCGCAGGCGGUUUCUUAAGUCUGAUGUGAAAGCCCCCGGCUCAACCGGGGAGGGUCAUUGGAAACUGGGAGACUUGAGUGCAGAAGAGGAGAGUGGAAUUCCAUGUGUAGCGGUGAAAUGCGUAGAUAUAUGGAGGAACACCAGUGGCGAAGGCGGCUCUCUGGUCUGUAACUGACGCUGAGGCUCGAAAGCGUGGGGAGCAAACAGGAUUAGAUACCCUGGUAGUCCACGCCGUAAACGAUGAGUGCUAAGUGUUGGAGGGUUUCCGCCCCU
rnacentral:rRNA from 1 species